rnacentral:rRNA from 1 species
GACGAACGCUGGCGGCGUGCUUAACACAUGCCAGUCGAACGGAAAGGCCCUGCUUUUGUGGGGUGCUCGAGUGGCGAACGGGUGAGUAACACGUGAGUAACCUGCCCUUGACUUUGGGAUAACUUCAGGAAGCUGGGGCUAAUACCGGAUAGGAGCUCCUGCUGCAUGGUGGGGGUUGGAAAGUUUCGGCGGUUGGGGAUGGACUCGCGGCUUAUCAGCUUGUUGGUGGGGUAGUGGCUUACCAAGGCUUUGACGGGUAGCCGGCCUGAGAGGGUGACCGGCCACAUUGGGACUGAGAUACGGCCCAGACUCCUACGGGAGGCAGCAGUGGGGAAUAAUGCACAAUGGGCGGAAGCCUGAUGCAGCAACGCCGCGUGCGGGAUGACGGCCUUCGGGUUGUAAACCGCUUUCGCCUGUGACGAAGCGUGAGUGACGGUAAUGGGUAAAGAAGCACCGGCUAACUACGUG